rnacentral:rRNA from 1 species
UACGGGGGGGGUAAGCGUUGUUCGGAAUUACUGGGCGUAAAGGGCUCGUAGGCGGCCAACUAAGUCAGACGUGAAAUCCCUCAGCUUAACUGGGGAACUGCGUCUGAUACUGGAUGGCUUGGAUCCGGGAGAGGGAUGCGGAAUUCCAGGUGUAGCGGUGAAAUGCGUAGAGAUCGGGAGGAACACCGGUGGCGAAGGCGGGUCUCUGGGCAAUUCCUGACGCUGAGGCGCGAAAGCGUGGGGAGCAAACGGG